UAGUUUCUGGGACAUGCUCAUCAACGUCCGUUCGUUGUUCACACACCUCAAACAGCUCACGUACGAUUUCACGUCGGCUUCGUUUUUCGACACCGGCGGGUCCAAGACUGAAAAAUGAAAUUGAACGAACGACGUACGGUUUAGCGGAACGAAAAAAAUCAUGAGACAUUGGAUACCAAUGCUGCAUCUUACAAAUGAUGCCACUUACAGAACAUUGGGUAUUAAUUUUUGAAAAACUUUCCUCACCCAAAUGCCUGGCUCGGCAGUACCGGAGUGUCCUCAUGGUUUGAGCCAACAUGUGCAUUUUUUCAAAGUUGACCAAACCGUUCACGUGCGUUUUGUUGCCGUCGUGGGUGAAUUUCAUGUCUAGAAAAAACAUUAUAUUAUAUUCAAUUAACUAUGAUAAUAUGAUUAUGUAAUUGCAGUGUCGUUGUGAAAAGUAUAGCUAUUUGAUGGUUAUAUUAAAUUAGAGGCGUUUGGUGACUUUUUAUUUGUA